rnacentral:rRNA from 1 species
AGGGCAUACGGUGGAUGCCUAGGCGCCAAGAGCCGAAGAAGGACGCGGUAAGCUGCGAAAAGCCACGGGGAACUGCAAGCAAGUAUUGAUCCGUGGAUAUCCGAAUGGGGAAACCCGGCCAUCGUCAUGGAUGGUCACCCGCAAGGGAGGGAACCUGGGGAACUGAAACAUCUAAGUACCCGGAGGAAGAGAAAUCAAACGAGAUGCCCACAGUAGCGGCGAGCGAAGAGGGCAGAGCCCAAACCGAGAAGCUCCGGCUUUUCGGGGUUGAGGACCGGCAGAAUCGAAGUCAGGCCUAGUCGAAUUACCUGGAAAGGUAAGCGAGAGAGGGUAAAAGCCCCGUAGACGAAAGGCAGAGCAGAGAGGCCGAGAUCCAGAGUACCACGAAGCACGAGGAAUUUUGUGGGAAGCAGGGGGGACCACCCUCCAAGGCUAAAAACUACUUGGCGACCGAUAGCGCAUAGUACCGUGAGGGAAAGGUGAAAAGAACCCCGGGAGGGGAGUGAAAUAGUACCUGAAACCGUAUGUCUACAAGCAGUCGAAGCGAAAGCGACGGCGUGCCUAUUGAAGAAUGAACCAACGAGUUAUCUGCACUAGCGAGGUUAAGUGGAAGACACGGAGCCGCAGCGAAAGCGAGUCUUAAGAGGGCGCUAGUUAGUGUAGGUAGACCCGAAACCGCAGUGAUCUACCCAUGUCCAGGUUGAAGCGCAGGUAAAAUUGCGUGGAGGACCGAACCGGUGAGCGUUGAAAAGCUUUCGGAUGAGAUGUGGGUAGGGGUGAAAUUCCAAUCGAACGCGGAGAUAGCUGGUUCUCCCCGAAAUAGCUUUAGGGCUAGCCUGAGGUAGUAAGUAUAGGCGGUAGAGCACUGAUCGGGCUAGGGGCCGUAAAGGUUACCGAACCCUGUCAAACUCCGAAUGGAUAUACUGUAGAGCCUUGGAGUCAGACUACGAGUGAUAAGAUCCGUGGUCAAAAGGGAAACAGCCCAGACCACCAGCUAAGGUCCCCAAUGUCGUACUAAGUGGAAAAGGAUGUGGGGUUUCAUAAACAACCAGGAUGUUGGCUCAGAAGCAGCCACCAUUUAAAGAGUGCGUAAUAGCUCACUGGUCGAGAGACCCUGCGCCGAAGAUUCCCGGGGCUAAAGUACGAAACCGAAGCUGUGGCUGUAUACGUAAAGUAUACGGGGUAGGGGAGCGUUCCCAUAGGGUAGAAGUCGAACUGGAAGGUUCGGUGGACUUGUGGGAAGUGAGAAUGUUGGUAUGAGUAGCGAAAAGAAAGGUGAGAAUCCUUUCCACCGAAAGCAUAAGGAUUCCUGAGCAACGAUCGUCGUCUCAGGGUAAGUCGGGACCUAAUCCGAGGCAGAGAGCGUAGGAGAUGGACAACUGGUUGAUAUUCCAGUACCGGUAGUAAUUGUUUGAGCAAUGGAGUGACACAGAAGGGCAGGCAAGCAUGCGAAUGGAAGAGCAUGUGUAAGCGUGUAGGGUGGUGCAUAGGCAAAUCCGUGCACUGAAAGCCUGAGGCGUGAUGCGGAGUGAGCAGAGAUGCGAGCGAAGUUGUUGACCCCACACUGUCGAGAAAAGCUUCUAGUGAGAGAGCUACCGCCCGUACCGUAAACCGACACAGGUAUGCGGGGAGAGAAUCCUAAGGUGCGCGGGAGAACCCUCGUUAAGGAACUCGGCAAAAUGUACCCGUAACUUCGGGAUAAGGGUAGCCACUGUUGUGAAGUCCCAUGCGGAUGGAGCAUAGAGUGGUCGCAGAGAAGAGGCCCAAGCGACUGUUUACCAUAAACACAGGUGCCUGCUAAAGCGAAAGCUGACGUAUAGGUGCUGACACCUGCCCAGUGCCGGAAGGUUAAGGAAGGAUGUUCGGAUUAGUCCAAAGCAUUCGACUGAAGCCCCGGUGAACGGCGGCCGUAACUAUAACGGUCCUAAGGUAGCGAAAUUCCUUGUCGGGUAAGUUCCGACCCGCACGAAAGGUGUAACGAUUUGGGCACUGUCUCAACGAGGGACCCGGUGAAAUUGAAAUACCUGUGAAGAUGCAGGUUACCCGCGACUGGACAGAAAGACCCCAUGGAGCUUUACUGUAACCUGACAUUGGGUUUUGAUACAUUACGUACAGGAUAGGUGGGAGGCUUGGAAAGCUGGACGCUAGUCUGGCUGGAGCCGACGUUGGGAUACCACCCUUGAUGUAUUGAAAUUCUAACCGCGAGAGUAACGAAAUCCGGGACAGUGUCAGGCGGGCAGUUUGACUGGGGCGGUCGCCU